CCUAUCAAUCGGUUCUUCAGCGCAAUGGAAAUAUUUGUGCGAGUUAUCUUGAUUUUUGUAAAGGUGUUCGCUUGGAUAAUCUUUCCUAUAUUGGACGCAUUUGUUUAUCCUCGGAAAUCCAAGAGGACUUUAAUACCUCCAAUUAGAAACCGGCUGCUCACCCUCAGCGUUCAGGAGCUGCGCAGUCGCCUAAAAUCCCGCCAGUUAACUUCUGUGGAAUUAGUGCGCACCUAUAUCGAACAUAUCGAAGUUGUUAAUAAACAUUUAAAUGCGCUGGUGGAAUCUCGUUUCACCGCCGCUCUGGAGGAAGCCACUGAGACUGAUGACCUCAUAGCCAGUUGCAAAACUGCAGAAGAUGUGGAAAAGCUAUUUGAAGAGCGUCCAUUACUGGGACUACCGGUGACCAUAAAAGAAUCUUGUGCCCUUGAAGGCAUGACCUUUUCUGUGGGCAGUCUGGCCAGAAAGAAUAUCAAAGCUAAAGCUGAUGGAAAAGCUGUAAAGCGGUUGAAAUUAGCUGGGGCUAUUCCCCUCCUGGUUUCAGCUACUCCGGAAUAUUGCUUUAGCCUCGAGACGGACACAUUAUUGAAUGGCACCUGUGUGAAUCCCUACGAUUUCGAGAGGACACCAGGUGGUAGUUCUGGCGGAGAGGGAGCAUUAAAUGGAGCUGGUGCAUCUCUCUUCGGCAUUGGUUCAGAUAUUGGCGGUUCCAUUCGUAUUCCCAGCUUAUAUUGCGGCAUCUUUGGGCACAAGCCGAGUGGAGGAGUUGUCUCCGUAGAGGGGCACUUUCCCAACUCAACAGACCCAAAUAUUGAACACUAUCUUGUGGAGGGACCAAUGACUCGAUUCGCUGGGGACCUGUCGGAACUCCUCCAAGUAAUGGCGGGCAAAGAAAAUUCAACCAAGUUGCGAUUGAACGAACCUGUGCAACUGAGUCAGAUUCGAAUUCUAUAUUCUCUGGGCUUCGAAGGUAUCAAUGGUUGGAUGCAUGUGUCGGUAGACAAAGACAUAAAAGAUGCAAUUUGCAGAGCAACAACGCACUUAAAGAGCCUAGGCCUGGAGGUGAAGAAAGCGAAAUUACCAAAUCUAGAGAACUCUGUAGAGGUUUCUUUAUCCGGAAUCGCAGGCCAGGAUUUAAUGGAUUAUCUACUGGAAGAUGACCAUGCAGAUUCGAGCAAAGUGCGUGAAACUCUCUGGGAGAUUGUGAAAAGUCUAAGAGGUCACUCAAGCUAUACGACCAAUGCCUUGGUCUUUGAACUAACACGACGCACUGAUGCCUUUAUGUCAAAAUCAAAACUGAAAUCGUAUUUGGAAGAAACUAGCGAGCUGAUCGGGGAAUUCAAAGAUUUACUUGGAGAUAAUGGCGUGCUGAUAUGUCCAACAUUAAAUCUGCCUGCUCCGAGACAAAAGUGGUCACUCAUAUCCCUCUGGGGCGUUGAUUAUACACUGCUAUUUAAUGUACUUGGUUUGCCCGUCACCCAUGUGCCAAUGGGCCUGAAUGAUCGCGGAUUACCCAUUGGACUUUCUGUGAUUGGAGCACCCAAUCAGGAUCGAUUGUGCCUCCGUGUGGCUGUGGAGCUAGAGAGAGCCUUUGGAGGAUGGAAGCCGCCUGUUUCACACGACCUUGAGAACUAACAUGAUCACAAAUCCGACAACUGAAAGAUGGAAAACCUCAGGAAAUUUAAAAAAAAAAUAUUUGAAUCUUUUUCUAAAAUGUUUAACAAAUAAAAAAAUAUUGUUAAAGUGUGACCAGGGCCGAAUUCUUUAAGUGUGUAUUUUAUCUAAAAGCGCCCAUGCGGACAAAACGGGAAACAAUGUGGAUUCUGUGUAAGAAACAUAUGUCAAGUCUGAAAUUCAUACUCUAAAUUAAUAUAUUUUUUGAAUUAUUUAGAAUUUCAAAUAUAUUAAUAACUCACACUUUCCGGUUAAGCCCGACUCAAUAAAGAUUUAAUUUCUUAAAACCAAAGGUUAUUAAUAUAUUUCGACGGAAAAGCGUUGACAUCUAAUAAAAGUGAAUUUGAAAGAAGCCGCGCAUCGCCUGUGUUGUUAAAUUCCCAACUGCGUGUACUAGUUAUAGCUGACAACAGAGAGGCCUCAUCACCCUGACGUGUUUGUUAAAAUACUCAUGCGGUCACACCAUUAGCUUCUUUAUCAAAUUCGGUUAUCAAAUUUUGUUUUGCGCCCGUUGUUCGUGUUGCCCAUUCACUCGUUCAUUCAUUCGUCUUUUGAUUUUCGCUUCGAACGGUUGUCUCUACACUUUUGUGCAACCAGUUCGAAAAAAAACUUUACUCCGCGCGAAAAUCGUAGGAAGUAUAUAAUACUAGGAAAUAUUACUUAAUAAUUUCUGGUUAAAAAAAAAAAACAUUUAUAAAUCUAUA